AUGUACAUCCCUACAACAUAGCACUAAUGCGUUGGAUCCCAUUAGACCUCUGCAGUUAAUCGUGCUUGGGCUAGAGUAGUACUGGGAUGGGUGACCACCUGGGAAGUCCUAGUGUUUUACAUG
rnacentral:rRNA from 1 species